CAGUCGCCGCGGGAAUACGUAGGGCGCAAGCGUUAUCCGGAAUUAUUGGGCGUAAAGAGCUCGUAGGCGGUUUGUCGCGUCUGCCGUGAAAGUCCGGGGCUCAACCCCGGAUCUGCGGUGGGUACGGGCAGACUAGAGUGAUGUAGGGGAGACUGGAAUUCCUGGUGUAGCGGUGAAAUGCGCAGAUAUCAGGAGGAACACCGAUGGCGAAGGCAGGUCUCUGGGCAUUAACUGACGCUGAGGAGCGAAAGCAUGGGGAGCGAACAGGAUUAGAGACCCGUGUAGUCCCUGUCUCUUAUAC
rnacentral:rRNA from 1 species